rnacentral:tRNA from 1 species
GGCUUCAUAGCUCAGUUGGUUAGAGCGUCGCACCGGUAUUGGGAGGUCACGGGUUCAAACCCUGUUGAAGUCC